AUGAAACUAAACUGACCGGAACAAACACAGGAAGCCGAAGUGUGACACAGGCCGAACCGCGAGCAGCGGCCACAGGCACGAACAGCCGCUAAUUAACGGAAAGCUCGGCUCGGCUCGGUUGCGUAGGAACAGAACCACCAGAGUCUCUGAGGAGCAAGAGACGCGCGAUGAGUUGACGAGGACCCGAUCUGCGCCCAAAUCAAAGUUACAAACCUCCACGAACGUGGCGUCUCGCGCUCGUCGAGCUGUUGCUGCAGGUGUUCGGAAUGAGUUGAUGAAGAACCGUUUACUCACAUGUGAAACUCCUGCGUUAAGCUGCGGGUCGGUCUCUCCUUCACACCGUCACCGCUCAGCGCUGCCAGGUCCCAUCCGGACUCCAGGCGCAAAGUGGCGGAUCCAUGAGCGGCAAACUCCGCGGCGCAAACAAAUUGAAAAGUGUUGAGUGAAAUUUUCGAUGAAAUUCAAGACGGCUUUGACGCUCGUGGGUGUUUAAUCCAAGCAGAGGGGCGUCGGUAAAUAAGGGAAGGGUUCUUGAGUCCAGCCGGGAGGGGAAAGUGCGCACCGGGCGGCUUCACCGCGUCUGCCGCGCUUCCUCCCGCAUCUCAGCCGCUUUAAUCCUCCAGAUGCGGCUCCAGCUUUUCUUUAAUUCCCCCUUUAAUCCCGAAAACACGCCCGUCUACCUUAGGAGACGUAAGGUUUCAUUCUUCUCCAGGAGGAAACAUUUGAAGGAAAGUGCGAAGUUUGGCGUCAGACUGGAGCGCGGCGACGGCGGGACUGAGCGCUCAGACUCCCUUCAUCCCCGCCGCUUGAUCGCCCCGUGGACGCGCGGGGAGAGAGAGUGGGAGAGAAAGAGAGAAAGGGGAGCUGGAAACAAGCAGGUCCAGGUUUCCCGUGAGCCUGAACCGGAGUCUCCCCCUUGUGUUCGUCACCAGCUGAACCUAAGACACGUUAGAGCUCUGCAGCCGCUGCUCAGCUGUUUCUGA
rnacentral:lncRNA from 1 species